CAGUCGCCACGGUAAUACGGAGGGUGCAAGCGUUAUCCGGAUUUAUUGGGUUUAAAGGGUCCGUAGGCGGAUCUGUAAGUCAGUGGUGAAAUCUCACAGCUUAACUGUGAAACUGCCAUUGAUACUGCAGGUCUUGAGUAAAUUUGAAGUGGCUGGAAUAAGUAGUGUAGCGGUGAAAUGCAUAGAUAUUACUUAGAACACCAAUUGCGAAGGCAGGUCACUAAGAUUUAACUGACGCUGAUGGACGAAAGCGUGGGGAGCGAACAGGAUUAGAUACCCGCGUAGUCCCUGUCUCCUUAUA
rnacentral:rRNA from 1 species